ACUUCUCAAGGAAUGGUGCUUUUCUCAGAAUACGUCUAAAUUAAAGACCUAUGUUGCACUAUGAUUAAUGAAUGCCGGGUUAAGGCACCCGAUGCCGACGCUCAUCAGAUCCCAGAAAAGGUGUUGGUUGAUAUAGACAGCAGGACGGUGGCCAUGGAAGUUGGAAUCUGCUAAGGAGUGUGUAACAACUCACCUGCCGAAUCAACUAGCCCUGAAAAUGGAUGGCACUGGAGUGUCGGGCCCAUACCCAGCUGUUGCCGGCAAUGAGAGCCAUGGGGGCUAUGCCGCGAUGAGUAGGAGGCCGCUGCGGUGCGCCUUGAAGCCUAGGGCACUGGCACGGGUGGAGCCGUCGCAGGUG
rnacentral:ncRNA from 1 species